CACCGACUGAUGCUCCCUACGAUGCGUGGAUCAAAUGAUUGCAUUAUUAUUGUUAUUAUUAUUAUUACUGUAUUUAUUUUUUACAAACACUUUAAUUUUUUUUACCCGCAAAUAUGUCAUCACUGUAUUGCGGCUCAAAUGUAAAGCCGAACUUCUCUCCCACUUACGUCCCCAAAGUCUAAGAUCCCUCCCUGUCGAGAAUUAUCUGGCGUCUCCAUUGCCAGAAUAUUUGCUCUCGUUAAUACGAUUACAAAAAGUCACCCAAACAGAACCACAGUUCCACCAACGAGCCUCCCAGUUUGCACGUGGGAAAACACAGUGGUCCAUUCGGGGAAGAGAGAGAGAGAGGGGCAUCUCGUUAGUGUGCUAUUCACUUAGAAGCCAAACAAUGUUGAAAUGACCCCACCCUGUUCGCAAUAACAUAUAAGCUGUAUAACACUGCCGGACGCAGUUAUAGUUCUACACAUGUUUAAAAUUAAAAUAUCAGGCCAUUGACAGAGUGCCAGUGUGUGUGUGUGUGUGUGUGUGUGUGUGUAAGAGAACACGUCACCGUAGGUGCCCAAAGACAACAAGGUUUUACCCAACCUCCUCGGUUUCUUUUCUUUUAUUUCUUUUCUCUCCCUUUUUUACACACCCUCGUUCCUUCUCUUUCUCUCUCUCUCUCUCUCUCUCUCUCACACACACACACAGUAUUUGGAAAUAUGACACCUCGAUGAAAUAUGGCACACCUACGCACCCCCAGGAUAUAACAUGUAGACACAUUGGGUGAUAAAGUUUUUAUGCCAUGCAGAUACAGUCCAUUGAGAAAUUCUCAGCAACUGAGAAGUGACGUGAUCCGUGUCACUACCAUCUUCAAGGCAGGUCCCCCAAGUACCUCAUAAGUCAUUUCCCGUUUUUUGUGACACUCACCUGUCCCCUGGCCUAUAUGCAAGAGGAAGUGCAAGUACAAAUGCCCUUAUUAUAUGCUACAGUAUUUGGAAAAGGCUCCAAAGUCCCUUAGUGACGACAACCCUAAAUUCCUUCAGGUCAGACUAACAUUAAUUUCGUCUCAACCGUAUGUGUUCCCUCACACAUUAUUGUAUUAUAAGAAAGAUGCAUCGCCUUUGAUUAUAUGGUUAUAAAAUUAGCACAAUUAAAAAUGACGCGAAGAAGAGGUCCUCCUGAAACUGGUGAAGAAAUAUUGGAAAACUUUAACUUUAAGGAGUUUUGCAUUUCACUUAACCAUUUUUUUCUCUCUUUCUAAUACUUAAAGAAAAUUAGUUCGACGUUAUAGUGAAACUUUACAAAACCCUUAUACUAAAAAUGAUCUUUACUGAUGGCUAAACUGUAAAAGGCAAUAAUGUAAGUGUUCGUUUUGCGUUUAUUAAAGUGAUUCGCUUGAUGCUCACUCGGAAGCAAGCGGAGAGUGAAGGUUAAUUUGCAGGUGAUAGAAGUAAAAAAAACGCUGAUUUUUGUUACCUAAUAAACUUAAAUCAUUAUAUAAUAUUUGACUGUAAGAAUCCCUGAUUAAAUGGGGGUUAGAAGUAUUAUAAUACUGUUUAAACAGCAUCAAGAGGACGCUCCUACGCCAUACGUGCAUCGUCAAAAGAUUUUCUUUAUUUUGCUUGAACAGCAUGUUUAUUAACUUAUACCAAUAGUUUCUAUACUUUCUAAUCGAUUUCAGGAGAUUUCCAAGUUUUCUGCACUAAGGGCUGAAUUCCGAGUGGUCAAAAAAGUGAAAGAAACUUUUCUAAAAUAACAAAUUAAGCCAGCUAUUACAGUUAGGUUUUAAAGUUUACAGGCACGAUUUUUUUAUUCACACAUAUGUCUUUUUGUACUGUUUAAACGCAUUUAAUAACACUUUUCUUGUGUCCGUCGUUAGUGAGUAAAUCGUUUUCUCGUACUCCUCGUAUCCAAACUUUUUUUUUUCCGUGGACAGAGUAGCACGAUGUAGCUGCAAAGGCUUUUUUUAUUAUCCAGAAGAAUUUAAACUUCUCAGAUUGCGCUUUUAAACGAUCCUACUGUUAUUUAUAUAAAACUUUGUGUUCUUGUGUUUGUGUACAGGGCAGGACAAAACCUGAGACAUCCAUCGUGUCAAGUAACGGAGGGAGAAAUGAACGGCUCGAAAUCGAAUCACAGAACGUUCCCAAACGUGACGUCACUGUCUUCAAAAUCUUGCUGAUGACUGGACGUCUAUGCAAAAGUGAGAUGUGAAGCCAAACUGACGGAAGGGGAGUAACAGCUGACAGGAAUAGAAGAUGUUGGAGGUUAAAAGAAGGGGAUUAUCAAUAAACAAGCGUUGCAAAGGCCUCAGGCGUGAGAAUACCGUGGUGAAGUCCUAUGGUUAAUCAUCUGAUCUACAACAUUCACAUGUCAGAGGGAAGAAUUAAAAGGAUGAAAAACUGGGAAAACUUUACCUUGUAUCCUGCACAAAAGAUCAAGGUCAACCCAACGUCAGCUAGAUUGCUUUACCCUUGUAAAUGGAUAUUCAGCAAAUUAAUAACUUUGUAGGAACAACAUAACGCCGUCAGGUAUUUGCAAUAUUUGUCUGUAAACUACAUGGGGUUUAAUAAAUGAGCUUAACUUGUUUACGUUGUCACGUGCAGACGUCUUUAACGUCUGAGACGCAUGAGCUCUGAGACGUAAGGAAAUAUGGAAAUUAUGUAGUACGUAUUUAAGCUUUAAAAAAAUGUUUACUUGCACAUAACACCAUGCAUAGAUACAUUUGUAGUAAUUAAUCACCUGAAUGAGAGAAACUGUAGAGACGAGACGCACAUGAGCGCUUGUGGUGAGUUGAGUAGUAAGUUACGUGAGGGCAAACGCAGUCUGAUUUAAUCGUAUUGCUUCUAAUUAAAUAACAGACUAUAUGUAUCUUGAAAUGGAUUUGUUGUGACUGUGAUAAUAAGAACGUGCGUAGCGAACGUAGGAAACGUCUGCGUCUGUGUGGAAAUUUUUUAGCUUGUGGUGUUUUAUAAUUGUGAGGGUGACAUGUUUUACAUAUUUGUGGGAUUCUAAUAGUUUGUUUAAAAUGUAAUAUGAAGCUGUAGACAGUUGGAGGGAGAGUUUUAGCUGCCAGGCGCGCGCUGUUCACUACAUGUGCUGCUGCUGACGUAUCACGUACAAGGCCAGCUGAGCUCAGAACUCGAGAUUAUGUUGCUUUUAAACGUUUAUCGCCAGAUAUGUUUAUUAAAUUGUAUACAUGUAAUUAGGUUUCAUAACUAGUGUUUAGGGAGCAUUUUGAGCAUAGUAAAUGUGAAAUAUGUAUUGUUGGAAUUACCAAAGGGUCAAAGAGGGCUGGGUAGUGCAUGAAGGGGGACAGAUAAAUAUGUUUAAAUUAAAGAAUAAAGAUUAUAGGUGUCGAGUUAUUCUUACGAUGUCUGUGGUAGAUCAGUGAGCGUCGAGGACUGAAAGCUGGAAUGUAUAAUGCGUUACGUGAGAGAAAACGUGUGUGUGAUUGUGCGUGUGGGUGUGUGUGUGUGUGAGAGAGAGAGAGAGUGAAACAGAGAGGGAGAGUGUGUGUGUGUGUGUCUGAUCUCGAAAAUGUUGUGCUUUAAGGUUUGUCUAAGCAAAGAUAAUUAAGUAAAAUAUCUACAUUUUGCAUCAGUUAUUAAAGUAUUAUUUUGUAGUAGAAUAAUAAAAUUUAAAAAAAACACUGUUAGUGCACAGUUUGAUUUUUUGUGCCUUAAGUGUCUUUUCUUUUUGUUGCUUUAUAAUUAUAAUAUCUGUAUGUUUUGCAGUUGUUUAUCAUGUAACCCCUAAAUGUGCUUAACAGUUUGAGCUGAAUUGAGUAAAAUGAGUCAAGUGUGGUUGCUGCAGUGUACACGACGUAAGGACGUAAUAACGUGUGGGUUCUGCAUUUCUCGAAAUUUGAAUGUCAUUUCUGUAUAGUUAACAGAGAAAAAAAAUAUGCUGCAUUAACUGUUCGACCCUGAAUAAUUGUUGAGCUAUUUUCUUACAUGAAACAAGCUGUAGGCCUACAUGUGGUGUGAGUCUUAAGUGUGAUUUUGUUACAAGACCUAAAAGCUGGAGGUCUGUCGUUCAUGUGACAAAGGUAUGAAUCACGUAUUUUGUAAUCAAACUGUUUGUUUUCUGUAUUCCCUAUCCCAUGUCAGGGAAAAUAAAAUGUUUG